rnacentral:lncRNA from 1 species
GCUGACUCUCUUUUCAGAUUCAGCCCAGUUGCACCCAAGUAAAAUAAACAGUCUUGUUGCUCACACAAAGCCUGUUGGUGGACUCUCUUCAUAUGGACUCAUGUGACAUUUGGUGCCGAAGACCUGAGACAGGAGGACUCCUUUGGGAGACCGGUCCCCUGUCCUCGCCCUCUCUCCAUGAGAUCCACCCAUGACCUCGGGUCCUCAGCCCAGCCGAAGGAACUUCUCACCAAUUUUAAAUCGGGGACGCAAAGCCAACAAGAAUGAAGAAGUGGCCAGGAAAUUAAAGCAAUGUGAACACCCUCUGGCCAGCCUGUUGGAGGGUGAGAGACCACAUGGAGGAGACAGAGCCCUGAUGUCCCAGCUGAGGACAUCCCAGAAAAGCCUAUUUCCAGACAACUGAGGACAGCUGCCAAACAGGGAAGGGCCGCCUGUCCAGUGGAUACAUGACCCACAUGACCUUACCUAUCAUUGGAGAUGGCUCACACUGCUCACCCUGCCCCCUUGUCUUGUAUCCAAUAAAUAACAGCGCAGCCUGGCAUUCGGGGCCACUACUGGUCACUGUGUCUUGGUGGUAGUGGUUCCCCGGGCCCAGCUGUUUUUUCUUUUA